rnacentral:rRNA from 1 species
UACAGAGGUCUCAAGCGUUGUUCGGAUUCAUUGGGCGUAAAGGGUGCGUAGGUGGCGUGGUAAGUCGGGUGUGAAAUUUCGGAGCUUAACUCCGAAACUGCAUUCGAUACUGCUGUGCUUGAGGACUGGAGAGGAGACUGGAAUUUACGGUGUAGCAGUGAAAUGCGUAGAGAUCGUAAGGAAGACCAGUGGCGAAGGCGGGUCUCUGGACAGUUCCUGACGCUGAGGCACGAAGGCCAGGGGAGCAAACGGG